UACGAAGGGGGCUAGCGUUGCUCGGAAUUACUGGGCGUAAAGCGCACGUAGGCGGCUUUCUAAGUCGGGGGUGAAAUCCUGGAGCUCAACUCCAGAACUGCCUUCGAUACUGGAGAGCUUGAGUCCGGGAGAGGUGAGUGGAACUGCGAGUGUAGAGGUGAAAUUCGUAGAUAUUCGCAAGAACACCAGUGGCGAAGGCGGCUCACUGGCCCGGUACUGACGCUGAGGUGCGAAAGCGUGGGGAGCGAUCCGG
rnacentral:rRNA from 1 species